AUGAAAAGCCUUAUCUCUAAAAGAAUGGGUCGUUACGUCACCACCACGCAGGGCCGGUUAUCAGGCUGUUCAGGAUGCCCAAAAUUUGAUUAAAGGCCCAAAAUUUGAUCAGAAUCGGGAUCCCUUCAAAACCUGAUUAAAGGCCCUAACCUGCAGGCUGAUUUCUGAUCAAAAAUUCAAAAGUCGAUCAAGAACGUCGCUUCAAAUACCUGAAGGCUGAAAUCAAAAGUCGCUUCAAAACCUGAUUAAAGGCCCUAACCUGCAGAAAUUAUGCCUCCCGUUCCUAAAUACAAACACCUAUCCGGCCAUCAAAAACGUAAGAGGAAGAAGCUAGAGGAAGAGUUUACGUUAUAUGAAGAUUUGCGAAUAGGGCCCAAAUUUUUUAUCUCGAACAGGGCCAAA
rnacentral:lncRNA from 1 species